rnacentral:rRNA from 1 species
UGUUCGGAAUUACUGGGCGUAAAGGGCUCGUAGGCGGCCAACUAAGUCAGACGUGAAAUCCCCAGGCUCAACCUGGGAACUGCGUCUGAUACUGGAUGGCUUGAAUCCGGGAGAGGGAUGCAGAAUUCCAGGUGUAGCGGUGAAAUGCGUAGAUAUCUGGAGGAAUACCGGUGGCGAAGGCGGCAUCCUGGACCGGCAUUGACGCUGAGGAGCGAAAGCCAGGGGAGCAAACGGG